AUUGAACGCUGGCGGAAUGCUUUACACAUGCAAGUCGAACGGCAGCGCGGACUUCGGUCUGGUGGCGAGUGGCGAACGGGUGAGUAAUGUAUCGGAACGUGCCCAGUCGUGGGGGAUAACGUAGUGAAAAUUACGCUAAUACCGCAUACGAUCUAUGGAUGAAAGCGGGGGAUCGCAAGACCUCGCGCGAUUGGAGCGGCCGAUAUCAGAUUAGGUAGUUGGUGGGGUAAAGGCCCACCAAGCCAACGAUCUGUAGCUGGUCUGAGAGGACGACCAGCCACACUGGAACUGAGACACGGUCCAGCAUCCUACGGGAGGGAGCAGUGGGGAAUUUUGGACAAUGGGCGAAAGCCUGAUCCAGCCAUUCCGCGUGCAGGAUGAAGGCCCUCGGGUUGUAAACUGCUUUUGUACAGAACGAAAAGGUUUCUACUAAUACUAGGAGCUCAUGACGGUACUGUAAGAAUAAGCACCGGCUAACUACGUGCCAGCCGCCGCCGUAA
rnacentral:rRNA from 1 species